rnacentral:tRNA from 1 species
AUUUAAGUAGUUUAAUAUAAAAUUUUAAUUUGUGGGAUUAAAAAUAUACAAAUAGUAUCUUAAAUA